AUGAAUCUCAUUUCUGAAGAUAAUAAACUAAAAUGUAAAAAUGUUGUAUUGAUUUAUACCAUCCGUAUGUAUUUAAACGGUUUGAUUAUAGGAUAUGUUUUUCGAAAAGAAAUUUACAAGAAUUUUUAUUUAUGUAAAAAUAAUGAUGUUAUAUACAACUCUAUAAAAAAAACAUUUGGCUAUAUAAAUAACAAAGUUUAUAAAAACCCAUCAUUUUUAUUAAAAUAUGAUUUGCAUAAAAAUAAAUAUAUAUAUAAUAAAUUAAAUUCAAAUAUAAGUAAAAAAAAAAAUUAUUACAUUUAUAAAUUUAUUCCACUCCAUAAAUUAUCUAAUUUAAAAACAAAUAUUCAAGUCUCAAACUUUUUUGCAUUAAGAUUAUCAUUUUGGACACUUUUUUGCAGCCUAACGUGUUGGAAUUUGAACAAAAGCCUGGAUAACUCUAUAAUCUGCCCUACAAUUUCAGGCUUUAUAGCUUCAUCGUUAAAUAAGAUGAUUUUUAAGGAACAUAAAAAACCUCUAAUCCCUAUUUGGUUAGGUUGUAUAUUAAGUUAUAUUAUUUUCCUUUGA
rnacentral:lncRNA from 1 species